rnacentral:rRNA from 1 species
GUGUAUGGUCAUACAACUCUGAACGCGCCCAGUUUCCUCUGAUCUUGGAAGGAAGCAGGGUCAGGCCUGGUUAGUACUUGGAUGGAAGAACACUUUAUGGUUGACUAUUCCCA